rnacentral:rRNA from 1 species
UAGGGAAUCUUCGGCAAUGGGGGGAACCCUGACCGAGCAACGCCGCGUGAGUGAAGAAGGUUUUCGGAUCGUAAAGCUCUGUUGUUAAGGAAGAACGAGUGUGAGAAUGGAAAGUUCAUGCUGUGACGGUACUUAACCAGAAAGGGACGGCUAACUACGUGCCAGCAGCCGCGGUAAUACGUAGGUCCCGAGCGUUGUCCGGAUUUAUUGGGCGUAAAGCGAGCGCAGGCGGUUAGAUAAGUCUGAAGUUAAAGGCAGUGGCUCAACCAUUGUAGGCUUUGGAAACUGUUUAACUUGAGUGCAGAAGGGGAGAGUGGAAUUCCAUGUGUAGCGGUGAAAUGCGUAGAUAUAUGGAGGAACACCAGUGGCGAAGGCGACUCUCUGGUCUGUAACUGACGCUGAGGCUCGAAAGCGUGGGUAGCGAACAGG